rnacentral:rRNA from 1 species
AUUGAACGCUGGCGGCAGGCUUAACACAUGCAAGUCGAGCGAGCGGCGGACGGGUGAGUAACGUCUGGGAAACUGCCUGAUGGAGGGGGAUAACCACUGGAAAAGGGAGAUAAUACCGCAUACUAUCAGAUGGGCCCAGAUGGGAUUAGCGAGUAGGUGGGGUAAUGGCUCACCUAGGCGACGAUCCCUAGCCGGUCUGAGAGGAUGACCAGCCACACGGGAAAUGAGACACGGUCCAGACUCCUACGGUAGGCAGCAGUGGGGAAUAUUGCACAAUGGGCGCAAGCCUGAUGAAGCCAUGCCGCGUGUGUGAAGAAGGCCUUCGGGUUGUAAAGCACUUUCAGCGAGGAGGCGUUACUCGCAGAAGAAGCACCGGCUAACUCCGUGCCAGCAGCCGCGGUAAUUC